rnacentral:rRNA from 1 species
UACGGGGGGGGCAAGCGUUGUUCGGAAUUACUGGGCGUAAAGGGCUCGUAGGCGGCCAACUAAGUCGGACGUGAAAUCCCCAGGCUCAACCUGGGAACUGCGUCUGAUAUUGGAUGGCUUGAAUCCGGGAGAGGGAUGCAGAAUUCCAGGUGUAGCGGUGAAAUGCGCAGAUAUCGGGAAGAACACCCGUGGCGAAGGCGGUUCUCUGGGACGGUACUGACGCUGAGACGCGAAAGCGUGGGGAGCGAACAGG